rnacentral:rRNA from 1 species
UACGUAGGGGGCAAGCGUUGUCCGGAUUUAUUGGGCGUAAAGAGCGUGUAGGCGGCCGCACAGGUCCGUUGUGAAAACUGGAGGCUUAACCUUCAGACGUCGAUGGAAACCGUGCGGCUAGAGUCCGGAAGAGGAGAGUGGAAUUCCUGGUGUAGCGGUGAAAUGCGCAGAUAUCAGGAAGAACACCCGUGGCGAAGGCGGCUCUCUGGGACGGUACUGACGCUGAGGAGCGAAAGCGUGGGGAGCGAACAGG